AAGACGGUCUUGCUGUCACUUAUAGAUGGAUCCGCGCUGCAUUAGCUAGUUGGUAAGGUAACGGCUUACCAAGGCAACGAUGCAUAGCCGACCUGAGAGGGUGAUCGGCCACACUGGAACUGAGACACGGUCCAGACUCCUACGGGAGGCAGCAGUAGGGAAUCUUCCGCAAUGGGCGAAAGCCUGACGGAGCAACGCCGCGUGAGUGAUGAAGGUCUUCGGAUCGUAAAACUCUGUUAUUAGGGAAGAACAUAUGUGUAAGUAACUGUGCACAUCUUGACGGUACCUAAUCAGAAAGCCACGGCUAACUACGUGCCAGCAGCCGCGGUAAUACGUAGGUGGCAAGCGUUAUCCGGAAUUAUUGGGCGUAAAGCGCGCGUAGGCGGUUUUUUAAGUCUGAUGUGAAAGCCCACGGCUCAACCGUGGAGGGUCAUUGGAAACUGGAAAACUUGAGUGCAGAAGAGGAAAGUGGAAUUCCAUGUGUAGCGGUGAAAUGCGCAGAGAUAUGGAGGAACACCAGUGGCGAAGGCGACUUUCUGGUCUGUAACUGACGCUGAUGUGCGAAAGCGUGGGGAUCAAACAGGAUUAGAUACCCUGGUAGUCCACGCCGUAAACGAUGAGUGCUAAGUGUUAGGGGGUUUCCGCCCCUUAGUGCUGCAGCUAACGCAUUAAGCACUCCGCCUGGGGAGUACGACCGCAAGGUUGAAACUCAAAGGAAUUGACGGGGACCCGCACAAGCGGUGGAGCAUGUGGUUUAAUUCGAAGCAACGCGAAGAACCUUACCAAAUCUUGACAUCCUUUGACAACUCUAGAGAUAGAGCCUUCCCCUUCGGGGGACAAAGUGACAGGUGGUGCAUGGUUGUCGUCAGCUCGUGUCGUGAGAUGUUGGGUUAAGUCCCGCAACGAGCGCAACCCUUAAGCUUAGUUGCCAUCAUUAAGUUGGGCACUCUAAGUUGACUGCCGGUGACAAACCGGAGGAAGGUGGGGAUGACGUCAAAUCAUCAUGCCCCUUAUGAUUUGGGCUACACACGUGCUACAAUGGACAAUACAAAGGGCAGCGAAACCGCGAGGUCAAGCAAAUCCCAUAAAGUUGUUCUCAGUUCGGAUUGUAGUCUGCAACUCGACUACAUGAAGCUGGAAUCGCUAGUAAUCGUAGAUCAGCAUGCUACGGUGAAUACGUUCCCGGGUCUUGUACACACCGCCCGUCACACCACGAGAGUUUGUAACACCCGAAGCCGGUGGAGUAACCUUUUAGGAGCUAGCCGUCGAAGGUGGGACAAAUGAUUGGGGUGAAGUCGUAACAAGGUAGCCGUAUCGGAAGGUGCGGCUG
rnacentral:rRNA from 2 species